AACUCAAAGGAAUUGACGGGGGCCCGCACAAGCGGCGGAGCAUGCGGAUUAAUUCGAUGCAACGCGAAGAACCUUACCAAGGCUUGACAUGAACCGGUAAUACCUGGAAACAGGUGCCCCGCUUGCGGUCGGUUUACAGGUGGUGCAUGGUUGUCGUCAGCUCGUGUCGUGAGAUGUUGGGUUAAGUCCCGCAACGAGCGCAACCCUCGUUCUAUGUUGCCAGCGCGUUAUGGAGGGGACUCAUAGGAGACUGCCGGGGUCAACUCGGAGGAAGGUGGGGACGACGUCAAAUCAUCAUGCCCCUUAUGUCUUGGGCUUCACGCAUGCUACAAUGGCCGGUACAAAGGGUUGCGAUACUGUGAGGUGGAGCUAAUCCCAAAAAGCCGGUCUCAGUUCGGAUUGGGGUCUGCAACUCGACCCCAUGAAGUCGGAGUCGCUAGUAAUCGCAGAUCAGCAACGCUGCGGUGAAUACGUUCCCGGGCCUUGUACACACCGCCCGUCAAGUCACGAAAGUUGGUAACACCCGAAGCCGGUGGCCUAACCCUUGUGGGGGGAGCCGUCGAAGGUGGGACCGGCGAUUGGGACUAAGUCGUAACAAGGUAGCCGUACCGGAAGGUGCGGCUGGAUCACCUCCU
rnacentral:rRNA from 1 species